rnacentral:rRNA from 1 species
CACGUAGGGCGCAAGCGUUGUCCGGAAUUAUUGGGCGUAAAGAGCUCGUAGGCGGUCUGUUGCGUCCGCUGUGAAAACUCGGGGCUUAACCCCGAGCCUGCAGUGGAUACGGGCAGACUAGAGGUAGGUAGGGGAGAAUGGAAUUCCCGGUGUAGCGGUGAAAUGCGCAGAUAUCAGGAGGAACACCGGUGGCGAAGGCGGAUCUCUGGGCCAUUACUGAUGCUGAGGAGCGAAAGCGUGGGGAGCGAACAGG